UAGGAAGCUUCGCCUCGUAAGAACUGUGAGACACCCACGUAUUCUCUUAGGUGGAGGACAUCCAAGCGACCGGAGUUACAGAAGAGGAAGGGAGGAGAGCAGGAGAAAGAAGUGUCUGAACUGGCAAAUUCUCCUGGCAGCACCGAGAGCGAGAGCUGCGAGGCAGCGCUGAGGCCUCAGUUGUGGGUUCCUCUGCGGGGACGUUGUGGACUGCAUCUGGCUCAGGUGGAUGACAGUCAAGUGACUGGAGCUACAGAGGAGGAAAGGAGGGG